GUAGUACUCCCUCCGUUCCAAAUUACUCGUCGCAGAAAUGGAUGCAUCUAGAACUAAAAUACAUCUAGAUACAUCCAUACCUGCGACAAGUAAUUCGAACGGAGGGAGUACUUG
rnacentral:pre_miRNA from 1 species